AGUGGCGGACGGGUGAGUAAUGUAUAGGGAUCUGCCUAGUAGUGGGGGACAACCUGUGGAAACGCAGGCUAAUACCGCAUACGCUCUACGGAGGAAAGUGGGGGACCUUUCGGGGCCUCAUGCUAUUAGAUGAACCUAUAUCAGAUUAGCUAGUUGGUGGGGUAAAGGCCUACCAAGGCGACGAUCUGUAGCUGGUCUGAGAGAAUGAUCAGCCACACUGGGACUGAGACACGGCCCAGACUCCUACGGGAGGCAGCAGUGGGGAAUAUUGCACAAUGGAGGCAACUCUGAUGCAGCAAUGCCGCGUGUGUGAAGAAGGCCUUCGGGUUGUAAAGCACUUUCAAUAGGGAGGAAAAGUUGUAGCUUAAUACGUUGCAACCGUGACGUUACCUAUAGAAGAAGGACCGGCUAACUCCGUGCCAGCAGCCGCGGUAAUACGGAGGGUCCGAGCGUUAAUCGGAAUUACUGGGCGUAAAGCGCGCGUAGGCGGAUAAAUAAGUCGGAUGUGAAAUCCCCGGGCUCAACCUGGGAACUGCAUUUGAUACUGUUUAUCUAGAGUGUGGUAGAGGUGAGUGGAAUUUCAGGUGUAGCGGUGAAAUGCGUAGAGAUCUGAAGGAACAACAGUGGCGAAGGCGACUCACUGGGCCAUUACUGACGCUGAGGUGCGAAAGCGUGGGUAGCAAACAGGAUUAGAUACCCUGGUAGUCCACGCCCUAAACGAUGUCAACUAGGUGUAUGGAAUGUAUUUUCUGUGUAUCGAAGCUAACGCGAUAAGUUGACCGCCUGGGGAGUAC
rnacentral:rRNA from 1 species